rnacentral:rRNA from 1 species
UACGAAGGGGGCUAGCGUUGUUCGGAAUCACUGGGCGUAAAGGGCGCGUAGGCGGCUUUAUAAGUCGGGGGUGAAAGCCUGUGGCUCAACCACAGAAUUGCCUUCGAUACUGUAGAGCUUGAGACCGGAAGAGGUAAGUGGAACUGCGAGUGUAGAGGUGAAAUUCGUAGAUAUUCGGAAGAACACCAGUGGCGAAGGCGACACACUGGCUCACUACUGACGCUGAGGCGCGAAAGCGUGGGGAGCAAACAGG